rnacentral:rRNA from 1 species
UACGGGGGGGAGCAAGCGUUGUUCGGAUUUACUGGGCGUAAAGGCGCGUAGGCGGCCACCGCAAGUCAAUUGUGAAAUCUCCGGGCUCAACCCGGAACGGUCAACUGAUACUGCGGGGCUAGAGUGCAGAAGGGGCAACUGGAAUUCUCGGUGUAGCGGUGAAAUGCGUAGAUAUCGAGAGGAACACCUGCGGCGAAGGCGGGUUGCUGGGCUGACACUGACGCUGACAGCGCGAAAGCUAGGGGAGCGAACGGG